UCAUCCUGGUCUUUCUCAUCCUGGUUCUACAUCAUCCUGGUUCUAUGGUUGAAGGUCAGCAAACCUCCAGGAACUGGGAUGACUGAAGGUCAGAGUCUGUAUCUUCUGAAGUUAGUUCAUAGAAUUCCUUU